rnacentral:rRNA from 1 species
AUUGAACGCUGGCGGCAGGCCUAACACAUGCAAGUCGAACGAGUGGCGGACGGGUGAGUAAUGUCUGGGAAACUGCCUGAUGGAGGGGGAUAACUACUGGAAACGGUAGCUAAUACCGCAUACCCUCAGAUGUGCCCAGAUGGGGUUAGCUAGUUGGUUGGGUAACGGCUCACCAAGGCGACGAUCCCUAGCUGGUCGGAGAGGAGGACCAGCUCCACUGGAACUGAGACACGGUACAGACUCCUACGGGAGGCAGCAGUGGGGUAUAGUGCACAAUGGGAUCAAGCCUGAUGCAGCCAUGCCGAGUGUAUGAAGAAGGCCUUCGGGUUGUAAAGGACUUUCAGCUGGGAGGCGUUACCCGCAGAAGAAGCACCGGCUAACUCCGUGCCAGCAGCCGCGGUAAUUC